rnacentral:lncRNA from 1 species
UAUUAUUAAAUUAUUUAUUAAUUAUAUUUGAAGGGAUAUCAAAAUAAAUAAAAAAAUAUCUUUUUUAUUUGCAACAAUUGGAAAACGUAGUCUUUUGUUAAAAAUAACGCAACCUUUGAAAAUUGUUCCCUCAUAUGGCUAAGGCGACAUUUAAUAGCUAUUGCCUAAAAAGUUCCCUAGUUACAGUUGAAAAUUGUCCCCUAUUAUAUUUUAGGGAACAGUUUUAUGGUGUGGCAAAAAAACACCCAGUAACAUGCAUAAAUUGUCGCCUAUACUAUUUUUAGGCAACAAUUGUCAUGGGUUGCGUAAAAUAGUGUUGCCAGAGACUACAAAUGUUGUAGUG